rnacentral:rRNA from 1 species
AGAGUUUGAUCCUGGCUCAGAUUGAACGCUGGCGGCAUGCUUUACACAUGCAAGUCGAACGGCAGCGCGGGGCAACCUGGUGACGAGUGGCGAACGGGUGAGUAAUAUAUCGGAACGUACCCAAGAGUGGGGGAUAACCUAGCGAAAGNUAGNUUAAUACCGCAUGAGANCCAAGGAUGAAAGCAGGGGAUCUUAGGACCUUGUGCUCNUGGAGCGGCCGAUAUCAGAUUAGCUAGUUGGUGAGGUAAAGGCUCACCAAGGCGACGAUCAGUAGUUGGUCUGAGAGGACGACCAGCCACACUGGAANUGAGACACGGUCCAGACUCCUACGGGAGGCAGCAGUGGGGAAUUUUGGACAAUGGGCGAAAGCCUGAUCCAGCAAUGCCGCGUGAGGGAAGAAGGCCUUCGGGUUGUAAACUGGGUUUGUCAGGAAGAAAU